rnacentral:ribozyme from 1 species
UGCCCAGAAACUCCUAUCUCUACCUCCGCGUGGCACCAGCCCUCAGUCCGGCUGGAAACCUUGGGAAGAUCCGGUAACCAAUCACCGUGGCUUUGUCGUACGUUGACAGGGUAGG